rnacentral:tRNA from 1 species
AGCCCCAUAGUCUAGCGGCCAAGGAUACAGGGCUUUGGUCAAAGCUUGCUUUGGUUCGCCAAGAUAGGCUCUUGGAAGAAACCCUGUGACAGGAGUUCGAAUCUCCUUGGGGCUA